rnacentral:rRNA from 1 species
GUGGGGAAUAUUGGACAAUGGGGGGAACCCUGAUCCAGCCAUGCCGCGUGUGUGAAGAAGGCCUUUUGGUUGUAAAGCACUUUAAGCGAGGAGGAGGCGCUCUAGGAUAAUACCCUAGAUGCGUGGACGUUACUCGCAGAAUAAGCACCGGCUAACUCUGUGCCAGCAGCCGCGGUAAUACAGAGGGUGCGAGCGUUAAUCGGAUUUACUGGGCGUAAAGCGCGCGUAGGUGGCUAAUUAAGUCAAAUGUGAAAUCCCCGAGCUUAACUUGGGAAUUGCAUUCGAUACUGGUUAGCUAGAGUAUGGGAGAGGAUGGUAGAAUUCCAGGUGUAGCGGUGAAAUGCGUAGAGAUCUGGAGGAAUACCGAUGGCGAAGGCAGCCAUCUGGCCUAAUACUGACACUGAGGUGCGAAAGCAUGGGGAGCAAACAGGAUUAGAAACCCGUGUAGUCC